rnacentral:rRNA from 1 species
UACGUAGGGGGGCUAGCGUUGUCCGGAAUCAUUGGGCGUAAAGCGCGUGUAGGCGGUCCGGUAAGUCCGCUGUGAAAGUCGGGGGCUCAACCCUCGGAUGCCGGUGGAUACUGUCGGGCUUGAGUACGGAAGAGGCGAGUGGAAUUCCUGGUGGUAGCGGUGAAAUCGCGGCAGAUAUCAGGAGGAACACCAAUUGCGAAGGCAGCUCGCUGGGACGUUACUGACGCUGAGACGCGAAAGCGUGGGGAGCAAACAGG